CGCCCCGCCUCCCGGCCUGGACUGCUGCGGCAGGAGGCGCAGCUGCGGGGCUUUGAGGUGACAAAACUGAGGCUUUGAGAAGUCCAAGAGAAUGCUUCUACUAAAUGGGAGCGGGAGCAGUCAAUUCAGGUAUAUGAUUUUCAACUUCCCGUUCUGCCGAGGCUGCUGUACAUGGGAGCCCUGGGCCUCAAGCAUCAUCACAAGCCUCUUGGGAGUGUGUUGCCUGCUGCUGAGGAAAAAGAGUCGCUCAAGGCAAGAAGACCCAGAGCCAGCAAGACUGAAACAAAAAGCAAAGGAGUAGUGGCAGCUGUGACUGACUAAUUGAGUUGCAUCGAACUCUGUUUUG